rnacentral:rRNA from 1 species
AUACGGAGGAUGCGAGCGUUAUCCGGAUUUAUUGGGUUUAAAGGGUGCGUAGGCUGUUCGGAAAGUCAGGGGUGAAAGCCCGGCGCCUAACGCCGGAACUGCCUUUGAUACUUCCGAGCUGGAAUACGGAUGCCGUGGGAGGAAUGAGUAGUGUAGCGGUGAAAUGCAUAGAUAUUACUCAGAACACCGAUUGCGAAGGCAUCUCACGAAUCCGUCAUUGACGCUGAGGCACGAAAGCGUGGGGAUCAAACAGGAUUAGAUACCCUGGUAGUCCACGCAGUAAACGAUGAUGACUAACCGUCGGCGAUACACAGUCGGUGGCCAAGCGAAAGCGAUAAGUCAUCCACCUGGGGAGUACGUUCGCAAGAAUGAAACUCAAAUGAAUUGACGGGG